UACGGGGGGAGCAAGCGUUGUUCGGAUUUACUGGGCGUAAAGGGCGCGUAGGCGGCCACCGCAAGUCGACUGUGAAAUCUCCGGGCUUAACCCGGAAAGGUCAGCCGAUACUGCGGGGCUAGAGUGCAGAAGGGGCAACUGGAAUUCUCGGUGUAGCGGUGAAAUGCGUAGAUAUCGAGAGGAACACCUGCGGCGAAGGCAGCACUCUGGGCUGGAACUGACGCUGAGGAGCGAAAGCGUGGGGAGCGAACAGG
rnacentral:rRNA from 1 species